UGGUCCUCCUGAUUAACAUCUAAACAGAAGCACAUUUCAGUCCACAGAGAGGCUCCAGACACAAUGCCUUUUCCUUCUUGUCCAUUCAAGGUCAGCUCCAGCCCUGUGACACCAGUUUAUUUUUUUUCUAACAAAGCAUUACAAAACCCUGGUAAUGGGAUCGACCUCUGCCUGCAAGCUGCUAAUGACUUCCUGGGAACAACUGGUAUGCAGUUUACAUCCUGCAAGAAGGAAUCUUCAACUAGGAACUGAGUAGAGAAGAGCUGAAGACAGAUCACUUCAUUUUUAAUGAUGGAUCACUUCAAUGGCUCAUGCUUUUGAACUCCUAGAGGAGCAGAGUGGAAGAGUCAAUGACUGCUACAUUGAAGGCUGUAUUAGUCACAGCGUUAAGGUACAUCUGUCUCAGGAGAAAUCUUUCCAGCUGGGCGAAGAUCUUUCAGUGCUUGACUGCAGCUGGUCUCUACCACAUUUAGAGAGAUCUAGGAACCCUUGGCUUCAUCACGCCACUCGCAGCCAGUGGCCAUCGCCUUCCUGACUUGCUGUAUCUUCUUACUUUCAUGAAACAGUCCAUCUACGUGGACUUCUGUGGAUGCAUUCCAACAGUUCUGCAUGCUUCCUUUUCUGGGGCUCCAGGUUUGGACACAGUACUCCAGAUGGAGACUCAGAAGGGCAGAGGGGGGCAAUCACCUCUCUUGCCCUGCCGUCACCCCUCUAUUGGUGGAGCCCAGGAUGCCGUUGGCUUUCCAGGAUGUAAGUAAUUUCUGACAUCUCCUUCAAGCUUCAUAUCAUGAAGUUUCUGAACAGGGCCAGGAAACUCCAGAUAGGGAAUCUUUCCCCCUAACAGGUAUCUAGAAGGGAAGAAUUGAACCUGUCCGGGAGAUUAUGUAUUUGGAUGAAAUAAGUGUCCUCUCAUUCCUGUCCUAAUGUGCAGACUCCAUCCCUUCAGGAAGUGACCUAACAUUAGUCAGUCACCUCAUUCCACAGUCGUUUUCUGGCAAGUGGUUAGAGGACAAAACUUUAUUGGGUUCACCCAGGCUUUCUCCACUAUAUAGCUAGGCACUGGUACUAUCUCAGGCAACUUCUCUCCACUGUCAGAGCACCAGUGGUGGCAGACUCAACUCCAACUCAACCCUCUGGGCUCAGUGAAUGGAAGCGGACUUCUUCAGCCCAACUGCCAGCAGUGUAUACAAAAGUGUCAUCGUGUCCAGCUCAGUGGGUCUAAUUUCUUCAGAGGAAGCAUCCUGGUAUGUACCCCUCAGUGCCAGCUAUGACCUCUUUAAGACACGCCCGUCAACUCACUCUCUUUCUAAAGCACAAGCCAGAAAUAGACUGUGGCAGUGACUCAGAAAGGGAGAGAAAAUUCAUACUGACUCAAACACCAAAGUGGACCUCUGGAGAAUAGCACAUGGGACUCUUCUCACUAGCUCUCACAGCUCUUCACAUCUCAGCUGCCAGAGAUCCCUCCCCAGAAUCUGCAGCAUGCUCAAAUGUUGCUUCUGCUCUCUUGACAGAGGAGGUGAUGCUGUGCUGAUUCCACAGUGUGAUUCAAAGGCAUCACAUUUCCAGUAGGUCCCAACGGUAGUCCCAGCAGCUGAAUAACAUGGGCAAAGGCUCACUUUGUGGCCUAGUGGGCAAGAAGAUAGCGGAUCCUAAUUAACAGAAUCUAAGAGAGAACAGGGAUGUCCCUUUUCUGUCCCUUGAGAAUAAUCAUUUUCUUUCUAUUUUUCUCGUGCUCUAUACAUUUUACUCUUUGUUAGGCAAUACCGUUCGGACAAUAGGAUCAUACAGACUCUCUGAAUCUAGAAGUAUACUGUAUGAAAUAGGGAUGAGGAAGACAAACUUCAACCCAGCUCAUUAGCACCGUGCAAAACUACAGCAAAAGGCUUCCCCAGAUGGCAUCCACAUCUGUGCGCUCAAAGCACAGCCUCUGUUGUUGUUCUCUCAGGCAAUUUCUCUUACCGACUGUUCGACUGUUCAGAAGGAAAUACCAUCUAGCAUGCAUCAAGGGCAAGGAACCUAUGAUUUAAAAAAAAAAAAAAAAAAAAAGGACAAUGCCACUGAUCUUUAUUUUAAAAAGCCAUUUCAUGUCUGAUCAUAGCAAAUGAAGGCGUAUUUAUAAGGUCCACUGAGUAACAGAGGAAAAAAUAAAGGUACAUCACUUUUCUUGGGAAAUCAGAGAGAUUCUUGAGGCGUGUUUAAUUCAGCAGUUUGAGAGCUUCCUGGCAGUAUUCCUGAUCACACAAGUAGAAGAUAGGUGUGUACAUGGAUCCCCUGAUCUACUUCUGACUUUAAUUACUCUAGGGUUAAUCCAAGCAAGUCCAUUGCUCUAAACUUAUGCUGUGGUGGCUGAAGUUUCUUCUGAGAAUCUAAUCAUUGUGUAAGCAGCAGAGAGCGCAUUAAUUUUCUGCAGCAUCCCUUCCAUCACCCCUUCUCAUGGCACUCCAGUUUCCAGCAUGAGACAGCAGAACCAUCACCGUGAACGUGUAACUGACUGCAGCUCAUUGAGAUGUGCACACCAUUUCCUUUAUUAUUGCCAUCUGUAAGCUAAUCCCAGCUGACCCUUAAUGUGACUCCCUGCACAAUGAAACUUCAGCUUCUGCAGUGUGAAAUGAUGUCUCAAAUUUUUGUUGCUAAGUGCAAAUUAAGCUAGCCACAAGGCUUUCAGUCCCAAAGAGAGCACAUCUCCUCCUCCUCCUUCCACUCCCACUGAGGUAGUUUAUAAUUAGCACUGCCCAUCCUGCUUCAGUCACCGUUCUGGAAGCUAUUUACAGGCAG